GGGAGUUCACACAUCUGGCUGGCAUCCAGGUUGGAUGGAGGCAAACUUGCUCGCAUCCUUAAAAAGAUCUUUAAAAGAGGCCUAGAACUGUACAAGUAAAGAUGGAUGCAAGCACCUGCUGGGUCCCCUGCAGGAGGUGUGGAGGGAGUGGACUGAUCCAGUAGUUCCUCCUGAGACUUCCUGCAGCCCAGCCUUGCGCCCAUUCAUACAUCCCGAGGCCGAUCCCUCCACCACGCUUCCAAUUAUCCAACAAGGUAGGGCUGGCCCGGGCCCCAGGGAAGCCUGGGGCUUUGCUGUAUAAGGAGCAUGUGUUGCUGUCUUUUCAAGUUCUAAGAAAGCCAAAUCCCUGCAAUUUAGAUAAAUCAGAUAGGCACUACCAGGUUAGGGUUAAGUCUCCAAGAAUGGCUUUGCAAGUAAUUACAGAAAACAAAACCAAAAAAAAAAAAAAAGAGCCCAGCAGUUAUUAGGUCCUAACUGAGUAAUUUGCAGCCUGUUUCACCCGAGCUAAUUAAAAUGUAAUCGGGAUUGUCUGGCAACGUGUAUUCUGUCAGCAGUUUUUCUUGGGAAGAGAAAUCAAGCCAAGAGACCGUGAGAAAAGCCUUUCACGGGAAUUGGCUCGAUCUAAACUGCUUCUGUAGCCGCUGCAACUGUAAAACAAGUAAAUCACUGCAACUGACAAUAAAAAGGUGGAGGGAGGGACAUCCUCGUCCUCUCUGGAGAUGGGCUGGUGGGUUCUGCCUUGUGUUGCGGUGUUGUUCAAACACCCGCGUGGCAUCUUCUCGGGAGAGGGACUUUGGGGUAAGGCGGCGGAUUUGAGUCAGGUGUGUGGGGACAGGCGCCUGCCUGGAUGUCGAUGUCCUGCUACCUUGCUGCAGAGACACUGUUUGAUUCUGAACAAAGGUUCGCAAAGUUCACCGGUGGGCCUCAGCUCUUUAGAUCCCAACUGUGAGCCGUCCGUAGCUCUGCCACACUGGCGGGGAAGGCCACCCCGAGGGCUGCGGACAGACACCGCAAACUUCACCCUCCAGAACUGA
rnacentral:lncRNA from 1 species